rnacentral:rRNA from 1 species
AGAGGCAGACCAGGGGAACUGAAACAUCUAAGUACCCUGAGGAAGAGAAAACAAUAGUGAUUCCGUCAGUAGCGGCGAGCGAACGCGGAUUAGCCCAAACCAAGGAGCUUGCUCCUUGGGGUUGUGGGACGUCUCACAUGGAGUUACAAAGGAACCGGUUAGAUGAAGAGGUCUGGAAAGGCCCGCCAGAGAAGGUAAAAGCCCUGUAGUUCAAAACUUGUUCCCUCCGAGACGGAUCCC